GAACUCAAAGGAGACUGCCAGUGAUAAACUGGAGGAAGGUGGGGAUGACGUCAAGUCAUCAUGGCCCUUACGAGUAGGGCUACACACGUGCUACAAUGG
rnacentral:rRNA from 1 species